UGCACACGCUGGGCUGCUGCAUUGCUGCCCUGCCCCAGAACCAGCAGUCCAAGAUGAAGCUGGUUGUGGUUCCCUUCUGGGACAGCAAGCUGGCCUGUGUUUU